rnacentral:rRNA from 1 species
UAGGGAAUCUUCCGCAAUGGGCGAAAGCUUGACGGAGCAACGCCGCGUGAGUGAUGAAGGUCUUCGGAUCGUAAAACUCUGUUAUUAGGGAAGAACAAAUGUGUAAGUAACUAUGCACGUCUUGACGGUACCUAAUCAGAAAGCCACGGCUAACUACGUGCCAGCAGCCGCGGUAAUACGUAGGUGGCAAGCGUUAUCCGGUAUUAUUGGGCGUAAAGCGCGCGUAGGCGGUUUUUUAAGUCUGGUGUGAAAGCCCACGGCUCCACCGUGGAGGGUCAUUGGAAACUGGAGAACUUGAGUGCAGAAGAGGAAAGUGGAAUUCCAUGUGUAGCGGUGAAAUGCGCAGAGAUAUGGAGGAACACCAGUGGCGAAGGCGACUUUCUCGUCUGUAACUGACGCUGUUGUGCGAGAGCGUGGGGAUCAAACAGG